CUGCCCUCAAGCCCGGCUUGUGUGUUGGGCCUUGCUCCCCCGGGGGCAGGCCCGAAAGGCAGUGGCGGCACCGCGUCCGAUCCUCGAGCGUAUGGGGCUUUGUCACCCGCUCUGUAGGCCCGGCCGGCGCUUGCCGACCCCCAUCAAUCUUUUUUCA
rnacentral:misc_RNA from 1 species